CUUCAACGAACCCAGCCACAGCGGAGGCCGGUCGUCGGGCCGGUCCUGGCCGUAGGUCGCGAGUACGGCCUGCGCCUC
rnacentral:antisense_RNA from 1 species